rnacentral:rRNA from 1 species
UACGUAGGGUGCAGGCGUUAAUCGGAAUUACUGGGCGUAAAGCGUGCGCAGGCGGUCUUUUAAGUCAGAUGUGAAAUCCCCGGGCUCAACCUGGGAAGUGCAUCGGAAACUGAAAGGCUAGAGUACGGAAGAGGGUCUCGGAAUUCCCGGUGUAGAGGUGAAAUUCGUAGAUAUCGGGAGGAACACCAGUGGCGAAGGCGGAGACCUGGGCCGAUACUGACGCUGAGGUGCGAAAGCGUGGGGAGCAAACAGG